AACAUCACGUGUUCAAAAACACCCUGACUUCCCUCCAUCAAGAUCAGCCUCCUCUGCCGCGCCAGAGGUUGCCUCUGGCGGCGACGGAGGCUUGAUAUCUUAAAAGAUUAACAUCAGUCCUUUCUCCUUUGCAUCCUAAGUCCAAAAAUCACCAUGCUGAAACCUAAUUUAACCUCCAUCGUGCAAAUCGAAGCGGCGAAAAGAAGAACACUAGAUCCUCUAAUAAAAAACUCUAAUAAAAAAUUAAAUGAUGCCUAUUGAGAUUUAGAGCCCUCGAUUUUAGGACUUUAACUCUUCUGAGAGUCUCCUAUAUGGAGGUAACUUAAUUGAAGUGAAACGAUGAGUAUUGAACAUAAACUCACCGGAGCACCGUACCGGAAAUGUCAGGAGUUUGGAUCGAGGUUGCCCGGAUUUGCUGCUGAAGGCAUUGUUGAUCAAUGAGGGCUUGCUAAAAUGUGCUGAAAUUCAUGGUUAUUUGCUCAUGUCCAGCUCAUGACUUUGAUGGACUGCUUUUUGAAACCUUGAUGCAAAGGUUUCAAUGCUUGGUAUGUUAAUGCAGAAACAAGGAUUAUGAAGCUUGAAAGGCUAAGUUUACAAGUCCUCAUGUAAGGCACAAGAACAAAGGCUUGACCAAAUUUUGCAAGGCUUGAUUAAUGGAGGAAAUGGUGGCCAUGGAAGAUCUAGGAAUGAUGCAUUUGAUGAAGAUGUGAUGAAUAUUAGAUUUUAGGAUGAAAAAAGUGAUGGUUGACUUUGGUCAACUGGUUGACCAAAAAGUCAAUAAUUGACCAAAAGUUAACUUUUGUAAAAAUGUAAAAUUUUGAUAUUUCUUUUGUAAUGAACAUUAUACAUGUUUAAUGAAUGAAUGAAUAACCAAUUGUGAAUGAAA